rnacentral:rRNA from 1 species
UACGGAGGGUGCGAGCGUUGUCCGGAAUCAUUGGGCGUAAAGGGCGCGUAGGUGGCCCGGUCAGUCUUUGGUGAAAGCGCGGGGCUCAACCCUGCGUCGGCCAGGGAUACUGCCGCGGCUGGAGCACUGUAGAGGCAGGCGGAAUUCCGGGUGUAGCGGUGGAAUGCGUAGAGAUCCGGAAGAACACCGGUGGCGAAGGCGGCCUGCUGGGGCAGUUGCUGACACUGAGGCGCGACACGUGGGGAGCAA